rnacentral:rRNA from 2 species
UGACCUCGGAUCAGGUAGGGAUACCCGCUGAACUUAAGCAUAUCAAUAAGCGGAGGAAAAGAAACCAACCGGGAUUGCCUCAGUAACGGCGAGUGAAGCGGCAAGAGCUCAAAUUUGAAAGCUGGCUCCUUCGGGGUCCGCAUUGUAAUUUGCAGAGGAUGCUUCGGGUGCGGCCCCUGUCUAAGUACCCUGGAACGGGUCGUCAGAGAGGGUGAGAAUCCCGUCUGGGAUAGGGUGUCCGCGCCCGUGUGAAGCUCCUUCGACGAGUCGAGUUGUUUGGGAAUGCAGCUCUAAAUGGGUGGUAAAUUUCAUCUAAAGCUAAAUACUGGCCGGAGACCGAUAGCGCACAAGUAGAGUGAUCGAAAGAUGAAAAGCACUUUGAAAAGAGAGUUAAAAAGCACGUGAAAUUGUUGAAAGGGAAGCGCUUGCGACCAGACUCGCCCCCGGGGUUCAGCCGGCAUUCGUGCCGGUGUACUUCCCCGGGGGCGGGCCAGCGUCGGUUUGGGCGGCCGGUCAAAGGCCCCUGGAAUGUAGUACCCUCCGGGGUACCUUAUAGCCAGGGGUGCAAUGCGGCCAGCCUGGACCGAGGAACGCGCUUCGGCACGGACGCUGGCAUAAUGGUCGCAAACGACC